rnacentral:rRNA from 1 species
AAAACCAAGUGAAUUGAUACAUCUUAUUAACUUGAAAUCAAAUCAACCGAGAUUUCGUGAAUAGUGGCGAACUUAAACGAAUAAGAGCUUAACUAAUAUUUUAAUAAAAAAAAAUCAUAAUUGGUUUACAACAAAAGGUUACAGUCCUGUAUUAUUGCAUUUUAUGCAUAAACUACAAAUAUUAAAAACAAGUAAGGAAAUGCUUACAUUUUUCUAAAAUCAAGGGGUACCUUCCUCAACUCUAAUUAUAAUUUUAUAAUCGAUAGCAAAAAAGUACUGUGAAGGAAAAAUGAAAAGAAAGCUUAAUGUAAGUUUAGUGAAAAGAAUUUGAAAUCUGAUGCAUUCAAAAAACUCAGAGUUUUGUUAAAUAAAACAAAAUAACGAUGGUUCCUUUUGUAUCAUGAACCAACAACUUUAUAAUUAUAGCAAGCUUAAAUUAAUAGAUGCAAGCAUAGUGAAAACACGUUUGAAAUGGCAGUAUAAAAUGAGUUUUAAUUAUAAUUUACCCGAAUACAGGUGAUCUAACCAUGAACUAACUGAGCAGGUAGUAAUUUAUUUGGGAAGGUUUAACUUAUGAUUGUUGUAAAAAUCUAAGAUGAUUUGUGGUUUGGAAUGAAAGGUUAAUCAAACUUGUUUUUAGCUGGUUUUUUGCGAAAAAUAUUUAGGUAUUGCACAAACAAAAACAAAAAUAAAAGGUAGAGCGCUGCUUAAAUGAAGGGAGGUGAAAUUUUACUAAAUUUAGGUAAACUUCGAAUAUUUAUUUGUUUGCUAGUUUGUAGUCAGACUUUCUGUUAUAAGAUAGAUAGUCAAAAGGGAAACAGCCCAGAUUAAUGGUUAAGGUUUUUAAAUAAUAAAAUUCUAAUAGAUGCUAAGUAAAAAGAUUGUAAAAAAAUCAAGAUUGCAGAAUGGUAAGCUUGGAAGUUGCUAACCACUAAAAAAUGUGUAAAAACAUAUCUGUUGAGUAGUUUUAAAACGACUACCUAAGUUAAACUAGGUAAAACAUUUUUUUGCAUCUAAAAUUCAUAGGAUUUGAAGCGAUUUGCCGAAACCUUAAACUUGAAAAGGUGGUAGCAAAACGUUUUUUUAUUUUAGAAAGAUAAGUUGUAAAACUUGUUUAAAAAAAAGAAAGUGAUUAUGUUGGUAUGAGUAGCGAAAAUAAUGUAAAAACAUUAUUAUCGACAUAGAUCCAAGGUUUUUUAUGCAAUGUUUGCCAUCAUAAAAUAAAGUCGAUUUCUAAAAAUUUUUUGCCAAUGCAAAUUUUAAUGAUAAAUUUUAAAUAAUUCACUAUUAAAAAAAACACAAAAAACAAAUGCACAUGAAAUAAAUGAUUUUUCUGCUGCUUCUUUUUUUUUACCAAGAAAUAUUUUUUUAUAUAAUACUAAUCGUACUAAGCCAACACAGGUGGGUUUGUUUUAAUGAAACAAUAGAUAUUUGAAUCAACCAUUUUUAAGGAACUAGGCAAAUUAAACCUGUAACUUAGGGAAAAGGGCCGCCUAUUUAAACAUAGGCAAAAUAAAAAAUAGAAAGCGACUAGUUAAUAAAACUACAAGAUUUUGCAAAAUUGGAAAAUGCUGUAUAAAAUCUGAUGCCUGCCCAGUGCUAGAAUAUCAAAUCAAAAAGUUCAUGCUUUUAAAAUAAGUGCUAGUAAACGGCGGUUGUAACUAUAACAAUCAUAAAGUAGCGAAAUUCAUUGGCAAAUAAUUGUUGCCCUGCAUGAAUGGCAUAACGACUAUCUAACUGUCUCAAAAAUAGAUUCAGUGAAAUUCAAAUUUGUGUGAAGAUGCACAAAAAUCAAAAUUAGACGAAAAGACCCUAUAAACCUUUACUAUGCAUUUAUAUUGUUAUAGUAUUUUAAUUGUGUAGCAAUAAGUGGUAGUAUAAUUUAAUUAUACAAAAUUGAAAAACCACUCAUAUUAAAAUAGUAAACUAAUUUUAAAAAACGUAUAAAUUUGAUAGUUUAACUGGGGAGGUUUUCUUCUAAAUUGUAACGAAGAACUACAAAGGCAUUUUCAAAUUCUGUUGAAAUGAAUUUUUAAAUAUAAUGGUUAAAAUUUGCUUGAUUGUAAGAUUAAUAAAUCGAACAAAAAUGAUUAAUUUUCGUUUGUCAUAUUGAUCCAAUUGUUUUUUAUGGAAAAAUAAUUGCUUAAGAGAUAAUAGGUACUUUAAGGAUAACAGGCUUAUAUUUUUUGCGAGUUCACAUCAAAAAAAAUGUUUGGCACCUCGAUGUCGAUUCAUCAGAUCUUAGUGCUGGAAAAGGUAUUUUAAGUUUGGCUGUUCGCCAUUUAAUAUGAUACGUGAAUUGGGUUUAGAACAUUGUAAAAUAGUUCGGUCUCUAUCUAUUUUGAUUGUUUUAGUAUUUAAAAAAUUUAUAUUUAGUACGAGAGGACCAAUAU